GUAACGCAGACACUCGUCCCCUCUCCCUGCGCACCCCGGCCAUGGCAGCAGCAUUGUGGUGGUGCAGGCUGUCCCUCAUGCUUGUCCCCCACAGGGAAUAAGGAGAUGGCGAACUCCUGGAGGAUGUCUCUUUCAGAGAUCAUAGAAUCACAGAAUAGGGUUGGAAAGGACCUUAAGAUCAUCGGGUUCCAACCCCCUGUCAAGCAGGCCGUCCUACGUACCCCAUAAAGUGCAAACCAAGCUGACUUGUCCAUGUGCAUCGCACUGCCCGGUAAGGGCGUCUUCGUGUGAGAGCCGGAGCUGCAGCCAGGCUAGGGCAGUGCUGUAAUACCUGGUGUGAGGCAAAGAAAGGUCAGUUUGGAAGCCAAAUAUUGAGAUUAUUUUCUAAAAGAAGCCCUAGAAAGCUAGAAAUGUGGGAGAGGCACUGACAGAAAUGCCCCAGCAUUAUUUGCAGUUAAUGCCACGGUGUGCACAAGCUGUAAAUGCAAGGACUGUGUGUGUUUCAAUGUAACCCAUUGGUUAAAUUUGAGGUCAAUCUGGUGAAGUUGCUGCCCAUGGGGGAGUGUUGAGGGAGGCUGUGGCCCUGCGGCACAGCAGAGCUGCCUCAGGUACACAGGUGCCAUUUUGUGAGGGGCAUGGCAAAUGGCGGCUCUGGUCUGUGGCCUCCUCUCUCCGUCUCUCCUUCCCUCCACUCCUUACUGCUUUAGAAACAAGUUUAAUCCUGCUUUCAGUGAUAAAUAAUGAUGGGACAUUAUUAUCUUCAGACCCAGGCUGUUGAACCCUGAACUGCAGCAGCAGAAAAGUGGGUUUUGGUGUGGGGGGAUUGUCUGUGGUGAGGAUCUGUGGAGCUAGGGUGCCUGAGGGAAGGCAGCUGGAGCACAGAGGCCUCCGAGCUCCCAGGUAAGUGUGUUGGCAUUACCUGAAUUUAAUGGCUUUGCAUUUAGAGAGACAAAAAUGUUUCUUUCUCAUUCGGAAACCACCUUUAACACUUGUGUGAUAUGGGUUCAGUGGCUUCUGUGUGUCUUUGGUCUGAGUCUCCUUGGCAGGGAUCCCACCGGGGAUCGAAUCACAGGCCCUUCACGCACAGGCCUCUGGAUUGAAAACAUGGUACCAGAAUCAGGUUUUGAUUUUAAUACAGCCCUGUUUUCUUUCAUCAGGAGUUUUGAAAUGCUUCUGAAGAGGUUGGUGAUAGUCAUAAUCUCAGCCACAGUGAUUUCUCAUAAACAUUGAAAGUGGAGCUUUACUGACUAUAGCGUCUGUUUUAAAUGGCUGGUGGCUCACUUGUUUUUAAUAUGAACACAAGCACAGAGGCAAGUAAAAUCUAAUGAAAGUGCUUAGAAGAUUUUGUUUUGAUACCCCACAGUAGCCCUGGUUUAUACUGAAGGGGGGAAAAGCUUUCUUUAUAGGCAGGCCUGCAGAAGCUAGAAAUUUAAUCUUUCUCCACAACUUAUUUUAUUGCAUUUUUAAUUUUCUCUUGCGUUGCCCUGACCCUUUUCUAUAGCUUUUGACGCCUGGUGCUUAAUUACUUAUCAUUAGCAAUGUACAUGGGGGCCUUCCUGCAUAUUUAUAAAUGUGAUCAUUAGUACAUGGGAAGACAAAGACUUCUUUAAGACCAUCAUUAGUUAUUCUGUUUUCAUAGAAAUGUUCAUUACAGAAACUACCCACCUGGUUAAAUAAUUAUAAUUAAGAAUUGGUAAUCUCCUUUGCAUUUUUAACUUGAUCUUCAGGACGUGUGUACAUAGCUAAAGGAGCCUUGUUUAGCCAUCUCACUAUCUUUCCUUUUUGAUUUGAAUUGUCAAGCAGAUUUAACUGCUGUGUUUUGGAUGUGUAUACCCUAAGAAUGAUUUAUGGAAAGAUAGGUUAUUAAGAAAAAGUUAAAAAAAAAAAAGAAGGAAAUCAACCCAGCAAUUAUCUCUGAAUUCAUUAACUGCACACUGGCAGCGAGAGGUUAGAUAAGCCAUUUACUGUAAUGCACGGUAUGGAGUUAAAGCAAAAUGUCACUGAAGCCUGCUUUCUCUGCCCUGUCUGUGGUACUCACUGCAGACACCCAGGCUGCAGGAGAACACUUGCAGAAAGGUAUCAUUUCCAUGUCAUGCUAUGGUCUUACUUGGGAAUGCCAACAAUAAAUGUGACGGUGUCAGUACUCCUGCUCCAAACCAUGGUGGGGAGCUGGUGGGAAACCCAUCCUAAAUGCAUGUGUGUGCCCGUGUGCUGUGAUGCUGCAGGGAAGGGAGAGCAUCACCCACCCCUCUGUGCCCACAGUGGCGGGCACAGGGAGUGCUCACCUCUGAUAAACCACAGCGAUGGGAAGACCUUGUCAGUGGCAUAAAUAUCAUCUGUAAACAAUUAAGCAGCUACUGCUCAUUCAGGGCAGUUUUGAGAAGCAAAGGAAGUCUGCAAUCAGUUAUAUCUCCAAUUACCAUAAAAAUAUAUUAGCCAUUCAUUCAUUUAUUAAUGAUUCAUCAGUUAACCACACAUAAUGAGCAAAUAAUUAGCAAUGCUGUACGGUUGCCAGAAUUGAAGAAGUGUUGGCAUUUUAAAGAUGAAAGGUUGCAUUUAUGUAAAAAGUCGGGUGGUGAUAAAGUUAAUACAGGAGAUAAUUAUAAAAGUGGCUGUCCUAUUUUAGAGGCUGAGGUCCCACAAAACUUGCCUAAUUGAACUGAAAUUAAUAUUCUUCAAAAGCACGCGUGUUACUGCAUACUAGCUGCUGCAUUUACUCAGGGAUCUCCCUCCAGUAAGGUACGUCGCACAAUGCAAGUUAAUAAAAUGCCAGACAGCAAGACUGUGUUCUUUGUUUGCUCGGUUCAGGGCCUUGUGGAAAACAAUAAAUUGCAUUCAUGUCAGCCGAGGCCCAUCCCUUUGCUAAUUACUGUUUGGUGCUGAAAUGACUUCUGUGAAAUUGGGAGCAUGAAGAAACACACAGCCGUACAAGGGAGGCUUUUCAGACUACAGCAGUAAAUGUGAGAUAGGCCUUAGGCACACAGAUGUUAAAACAGUGAAUUCCCCUACAGAUUACGCUAAUGGAAACCCUGUCAGGGUAAGUCAAAUCCGGGUCUGUGGUCAAAAUCUAAUUAAUGUUUCUGUACUUAAAAGAAUAUGAAUGCCUAGAGGUGAUGAGGAGCGUAUGAGAAACUCGCUUGUUUGUGAAAUUGCUCAUGUGGAUGGCAAGCGCCACUAAGCCCUUCCUUACGAGGCAGCACCUGCUGGAGGAGCUGCUGACGCCGCUCUGUGCAGCGCUGCUGACACUGGGCUCUGCCCCUUUUGUAAGUCCUGCCUGAAAAUGGCUGUUGAGGCCUGGGCUGCCUCCCCAGUGGACAGCCAUUGCCAUCAUUAAAUGUCCCCUCUUCCUUCGGUGCGACCGAGCGGUGUCAGCAUCAUUGUUAGGAAGUACUUGUAGCUGAAGACCUAAGCAAAGGCCAUCUCCUCUUUGUGUGAACACAAAGGUUUGCCUGUCUAGGUUGAGCUUAAGGACACUGCUGGGGCUCUUAUGGCACUUUCACAGCUGCAGUGCAUGGCCUGUGCAAUAGCAGAGGAAAUAAAUUUAUAAUGCAACAAUCUCUUCGUUUUUACAGGCACAAAAAUUCCCCUAAAUACUUAAAAUAACACUCAGAGUGGGACAGACCUUAAAUUUUGAAUAAAUGAAGCCCUAAUCCAGUGUGUUGCUGAAACAAGCUGGUUAUUAAAGAAAUAAAUUUGAAACAGCAAGUGGUUGGAGAAUUUUGGAUUUAAUUAUUUAAAUCUACUUAAGAUAACUCUCUAGCACUGUGUUUGGCUUUCCUGUUGAGAGCAUGUUUUCCAGGAAGGGCAUCCCACCCAGUGCCUUGGAAGAAUUAACUUUCUCAUGCAACAGUGGUUUAAGCAGUAGGGACAAAUAAUUAUUAUUGUAAUAAGGCCAGAUAUUGUAUGGCAACUUGGUAUUUCCUGGAUGCAUCCUGUCAUGAAAACUGUACAGUUAUUCAGGUGGGCGGAGGGACCACUGCUCUCCUUGGCUAAAUGAUGAAUUUGAUGCAGAUCAAAAUGCUCUUCAGGCAACAGAGUUCCUUUAGUAAUGUUACAGAACCAACCAUGACUAACAGUACCCAAAUCAGCAGGUUUGUGAUUGUAAGCUAAUUUGAGGUAUUAUAUGUUAUUUAAUAGGCAAAUAUUGGGAAUUGGACUUUGUUCAUUGCUGAUUGCUGUAUUUCAGUUAAAAUCUACUAUUUCAUCUUUAGGAUGUAAGAUUGUCUUCUGAUGUGGCAUAGAUCAACAAAGCAAUAAAUCUGUCUUUCCUUUUGUAGGACCAUAACAGGAGCUUCCUGGAUUCAUGGUCUGUAUUUAAGGUCUAAUGGUCAACACAGCUGUGUCAUCAUCUGAAUCCACCAAAGUCAACCAAUUCAAGAGCUGGUUGAGCACUGAGUUCUCUAAAAUUGACAAUAUGUGUGAGGGUGGUCUUCAAGUAGAACCCGGAAGAUUUGCCUGGUUGUCCUCAUUCAAGCAUGCUCAGUGACUUACCUUGUUCCAAGUCAGCCGUGUCAAGAUUUGAACAAGAAUCAAGGAGGAUAAUGGGUCAGAUGUAAUUAAGAGCAAUGGUGUGUCCCAUGGUUGGCUCCCUGGGAGGAGAGUCCAUCCACUGGAGCUGCACUGAUUUGUGGGAUGUGGUUAAACAUCUGCUGGGACGGAGGCUGGAACCAUCAGUCACUUGUCUGCUCUUCUUUGAAUGCAGACCCAUGAGACAGGCUGUCUCUGACAGAAGAAUACAGUUCAUCAAAAGUGUCUGCAGGUUGUCAAACUCGUUCUUUUUAGAGCACUGUGCAAAGAGACAGAGAGAAAUUCACCACUCGACGUGUAAGCAUAUCUGCCAUUAAUGCUGAGGGGAGUUAAGUGGCUGCUCCUGCAGAAGAAUAUACCCCAGUGUUCAAGACCAAAAGGUACCCUAUUACAAAGGUUCAAGCACGUUUAGCUCCAGCACAUGAUGGAUGCAUUCAAGGGCCAACUGUCUUUGCAUUUUUUAAUUGUAGAGGUUGGAACCUGAUUUAUCCAGAAGCUGGGGAGGACCUUAACUGUCUCCAACAGUUUUGAAAGACAGCAAAAGCAGCACAGCUUUCCUUUAACAAAAGUGGUACAUUCAAGGAGAAGGUACAUGAAUCAGAGAGCUGGAGAGGCAGGUGGGUGUUGUGCUGCUGCUUUGGAGAGAGUUUGCCUGAAGGACAAAGGAAAGUCCCACCUAGCGGUGUCCACAUUCCCAUCUGGCUGCAGAAAGCUGAUAUGCAGACUUUAUGUCUUUAUGGUGGAGUAGAACUGCAACAAAACGUCCAAAGGUUUCUAAGUCAAUGUCCAGUUGUUAUCCAUGAUGAGAUGCCUACACAUCUUGGCAGGCAAUUGUUCAGUCUGAAGGAGCUUUAAAUUACUUCACAGCUUGAAAUCCCAGCUUUACCUCAUCCUCUUCUGUGAAGCCAAAGACAUGUGGCAUUGGAAGUCAUGUUUUUGAGAUUAUCUGCUCAGAACAUCUUCACCAAGAAGUCUGUUUUCACUGUUUCACACAACUUGGGAUUUGAUGUUCCCUGCGCAAGUGUAUGAAGAGAAUUGGUUUAGACUAGUUCAGUGAAAAGGAGCUGUUUAUCAAUGGGCUCAGAUGCAUGGAGGUCUGAGAAUCGUAAGUGCAAAGCUUUACCCCUCCUGGACAAUGGUCUUUGAGACAAGGCAAAGAGGACACAGAAGAGGUUCCUACCACUGCACAACUAGGAGGUGAGUUCCCUGGACUCAACUGUAAAGGGGAAGAAUGAAUGAGGUUGCCAGACACGCUGAGUUAAUAGUGAGCUGAGACAAGCAUGACCACCAGCUACCUUUCUGCUUUCCAAAACCUGGAGCAGUGAGAAAUCAAAACCUAGUUUGGGUCAGCCUACAGGUACAGAGUGUGAUUCACCUGCCAUGAACUGGGGAUGGGAAGCGGAGGAAAGAGUGCUGCAGAGCUGCUGACUCUCUGCUCUCCGAAGACUUCCUGUUAAGAGGAAUCCUCAGUUGUCCAUUUAGGGUAGUAUUAUAGCUGCGCUGAGCUGCUGAGGCAUGCAAAGAAGCUGCAGAUGGGGCUGAGAGUACAGCUUGAUACUUUACUGUUGAGCCACCCAGUGACACCAUUACCAAAUGCCUGCUAGAGGUGGGUACUGAGUGCUAAAGGCAAAGCAGGGGGUCUGGUUUUAAUAAAAAGGUAGUUUACAAACAGCAUUUUUCUUAUUAUAAUGAUAAAAUUGAUAUGAAACAGUUACACUCCAGACUCUUAUUUUUCAGGGCUUUUAUAUAUAUAUAUGUAUUUAUAUGUAUAUAUAAAACACUGAAAACAAAACAAAGCAAAAGGAGGGGAGGGGAAGAGGGGGGAGAGAAAACUCCCUUCAGACAACAAUCACCUUUUGAGUUAAAUUCUCAUGCUUGGUCUUAGC